rnacentral:rRNA from 1 species
UACGUAGGUGGCGAGCGUUGUCCGGAAUUACUGGGUGUAAAGGGCGUGUAGGCGGGGAUGUAAGUCAGAUGUGAAAGCCCAUGGCUUAACUAUGGGACUGCAACUGAAACUAUAUUUCUUGAGUACUGGAGAGGGAAGCGGAAUUCCUAGUGUAGCGGUGAAAUGCGUAGAUAUUAGGAGGAACACCAGUGGCGAAGGCGGCUUUCUGGACAGUAACUGACGCUGAGGCGCGAAAGCGUGGGGAG